rnacentral:rRNA from 1 species
CUGAGCGGCGAACGGGUGAGUAACGCGUGAGCAAUCUACCUUAGUUACAGGGAUAGCCCGAGGAAACUCGGAUUAAUACCGUAUACCUCCUUCGGGAGAAAGAAGGCCUCUCUUUGAAGCUUUCGCUAUUAGAUGAGCCUGCGUAAGAUUAGCUUGUUGGUGAGGUAAAGGCUUACCAAGGCGACGAUCUUUAGCUGGUCUGUGAGGACGAUCAGCCACAUUGGGACUGAGACACGGCCCAGACUCCUACGGGAGGCAGCAGUGGGGAAUAUUGGACAAUGGGCGCAAGCCUGAUCCAGCCAUACCGCGUGUGUGAAGAAGGCCUUCGGGUUGUAAAGCACUUUAAGCAGGGAGAAAAAGUUAUAAGUUAAUACCUUAUAACCGUGAUGUUACCUGCAGAAUAAGCACCGGCUAAUUCCGUGCCAGCAGCCGCGGUAAUACGGAAGGUGCAAGCGUUAAUCGGAAUUACUGGGCGUAAAGCGCGCGUAGGUGGUUUGUUAAGUUGGAUGUGAAAGCCCUGGGCUCAACCUAGGAACUGCAUCCAAAACUAACUCACUAGAGUACGAUAGAGGGAGGUAGAAUUCAUAGUGUAGCGGUGGAAUGCGUAGAUAUUACGAAGAAUACCAGUGGCGAAGGCGGCCUCCUGGAUCUGUACUGACACUGAGGUGCGAAAGCGUGGGUAGCGAACAGGAUUAGAUACCCUGGUAGUCCACGCCGUUAAA